rnacentral:snoRNA from 1 species
GCAGACUUAUUAUGAUGAAAUAUUUCGGAUGUAAACUCACAGACCUGUUCCGAAUUGCGCAUUUCAAUCGUGUGGAUAUUUCCGUUGCCUUCCUUCUGAACCAUCUC